CCUACGGGAGGCAGCAGUGAGGAAUAUUGGUCAAUGGGCGAGAGCCUGAACCAGCCAAGUCGCGUGAGGGAGUACUGCCCUAUGGGUUGUAAACCUCUUUUGUCGGGGAGCAAAAGCCGGACGUUUCCGGCUGUGAGAGUACACGAAGAAAAAGCAUCGGCUAACUCCGUGCCAGCAGCCGCGGUAAUACGGGGGAUGCGCGCGUUAUCCGGAUUUAUUGGGGUUAAAGGGGGCGCAGGCGGAUUUUUAAGUCAGCGGUCAAAUCGUGGGGCUCAACCCCAUCCAGCCGUUGAAACUGGGGAUCUAGAGUGUGCGAGAGGUAUGCGGAAUGCGUGGUGUAGCGGUGAAAUGCAUAGAUAUCACGCAGAACCCCGAUUGCGAAGGCAGCAUACCGGUGCACAACUGACGCUCAGGCACGAAAGCGUGGGUAUCGAACAGGAUUAGAUACCCUUGUAGUC
rnacentral:rRNA from 1 species